CUUAUCCUAGACACUAGGCAUGUGAGUGAUUGUCUUCCUCACUCAAUCAGUCACAUGUCUAGUGUCUAGAAUGAG
ensembl:miRNA